rnacentral:misc_RNA from 1 species
GCAAACUUGGUCAUUUAGAGGAAGUAAAAGUCGUAACAAGGUUUCCGUAGGUGAACCUGCGGAAGGAUCAUUAAUGAAUUACUUGGUCGAACUGUUGCUGGUCUCUUGUUUUGGGGGCAUGUGCACGUCCGACUUCCAGUUCUUCAAACCCCAUGUGCACUCUUUGUAGGCUUAGAGGAACAGACUGAGAGUUUUACUCGCACGUUUUCACGAACGAACAGCCCCCCUUCGGCUGUUGUCUGAUUUUCUAGUCUAUGUUUUCUUUAUUAUAUACCCCAGUCGAAUGUUAAUGAAUGUUAUUUCGAAGGCUUAAACAGCCUCUAAAAUCAUUACAACUUUCAACAACGGAUCUCUUGGCUCUCGCAUCGAUGAAGAACGCAGC